GGAGCCCUCACCGCCGUACUCAAACUGGAAGCCGUCGCUCAUCGUCUCGCCGAACCACACGUGCUUCUUCUCCUUGGGGUUCUUGCUGAGGUACCAGUUCUUCUGGGCAAUGGUGGCUUGCGUGGGGUAGACGCACGUCUCACCCGUCUCCAUGUUGCAGUAGACCUUGAUGGCAUCCAGGUUGCAGCCCUGGUUGGGGUCGAUCCAGUACUCGCCGCUCUUCCAGUCGCCGUGGCACAUCUUCAGGUCCCGGCAGGUGCGGGCCGG
rnacentral:misc_RNA from 1 species